GGGUACAGUUACAUAGUAGGGCAGUGUGUACAUUUCUUAAUUUUUCUCUUAAAUAGCAGUUAGAAUUCAAAGACAACAACUAAUGACCAUUUCAUCUUUAUUUUUACUGAUCAAAUAGGAUUUCUAAAUUAAACUUAUGACAAAGUUGGAUUUGUUAUAUAGAUUAUGAGAAUUAUAAAUAUGUAUUAUUAAUAAUUACCUCAAAACUCAGUAUGGACCGAAUGUUCCAAGACUAUAUGUAUCUAUCUACUUAAAUACUUACUGAUAUCCAGCUGCUCAAUCAAAUGGAAUAUCACUGAUAUCAGCCCGCAGUUCUAAAGAUUAUAGAGACUAACUACCCCAAUGAUGAUUAAAUUCAAUAAAAGAAGGCUCUCUGUGGUAAGCUAGCUAGCUAGAUUGAUACUCCUGUGAGCUGAACUGAGUAUUGCUGAUCUAUAGGCUGAGGUUUCUUGAGACAUCACAAGGACAUCAGUGAAAUAAACUAUAAUCAAUGCUGUUAAUGAAAAAAUCAUCGUAAGGGCCAAAUAAAAUGUUUCUGAAAUCAAUAUACAAUUGCAGAAUAAUAUGAGGAGAAAACAAAGUUCAUUAGAUCAUUAACUAUACUCAAUCUUUCAUUCUUUAGUACCUGGAUGCUUCAUAAGCAUUUCCUGAGCCAUUGUGAACUUCUGUGAGCUUCAUCAAUAUGAACCAACGCUCAAGUGCACCAAAGUAUGUGUACCAUGCACACUUUUCCAAAACCAUAUGUAACAUAAAAUAAACUUACAAUACAAAAGACUAGAUCUGGAAUAUUAGAAUAAACCUGGAUGCACAAACCAUUGUCUUAUAAAGCCUGGAUUAUCCCCAAAUCUACUUCUCCCAUCUUCCAACUAGACCUGUAAAACUACAUCAGAUUGAGUAGGAUUACUUGUAAUCUCAAGGCUCUGCGCUUUUGAGAGUUGUGGAGCCUCCUGCUGAAUAGAUAAGGGUAAGAAGUAAUAAACUCAAGAGACCACUGGCUUCUGAUCCCAUCCUGGUUCUUGGCCAGGUAUCAUGCAGUUUUGGAAAAUAUUAAAAUAAUACAUGGGCUUGCUUUUCCUUAAAUUAAUAUGAAUUCAAUGAAAAACACUUAGAAAAUUGCCUCAAGUUUUGUCAGUGUGAAGGAAGAGAAAGUAAUUGGAAUGUGAUAUGUAAAGCUAAAAGCUCAGUGACAACAGACUGAGAAUACCAUUUGUCGGCAUUUUGGAACGUCUUUCACAAAGUGCCAAUGCGAUCUUCUGUUAAAUGAUCCCAUCUGCUGCACACACCACUUGUUUGUUAAGCACACA